GAUGAACGCUGGCGGCGUGCCUAAUACAUGCAAGUCGAGCGAACAGACGAGGAGCUUGCUCCUCUGACGUUAGCGGCGGACGGGUGAGUAACACGUGGAUAACCUACCUAUAAGACUGGGAUAACUUCGGGAAACCGGAGCUAAUACCGGAUAAUAUAUUGAACCGCAUGGUUCAAUAGUGAAAGACGGUUUUGCUGUCACUUAUAGAUGGAUCCGCGCCGCAUUAGCUAGUUGGUAAGGUAACGGCUUACCAAGGCAACGAUGCGUAGCCGACCUGAGAGGGGGAUCGGCCACACUGGAACUGAGACACGGUCCAGACUCCUACGGGAGGCAGCAGUAGGGAAUCUUCCGCAAUGGGCGAAAGCUUGACGGAGCAACGCCGCGUGAGUGAUGAAGGUCUUCGGAUCGUAAAACUCUGUUAUUAGGGAAGAACAAAUGUGUAAGUAACGAUGCACGUCUUGACGGUACCUAAUCAGAAAGCCACGGCUAACUACGU
rnacentral:rRNA from 1 species